rnacentral:rRNA from 1 species
CGUACACUCCUGCGGGAGGCAGCAGUGGGGAAUAUUGGACAAUGGGCGCAAGCCUGAUCCAGCCAUGCCGCGUGAGUGAUGAAGGCCCUAGGGUUGUAAAGCUCUUUCACCGGUGAAGAUAAUGACGGUAACCGGAGAAGAAGCCCCGGCUAACUUCGUGCCAGCAGCCGCGGUAAUACGAAGGGGGCUAGCGUUGUUCGGAUUUACUGGGCGUAAAGCGCACGUAGGCGGACUAUUAAGUCAGGGGUGAAAUCCCGGGGCUCAACCCCGGAACUGCCUUUGAUACUGGUAGUCUUGAGUUCGAGAGAGGUGAGUGGAAUUCCGAGUGUAGAGGUGAAAUUCGUAGAUAUUCGGAGGAACACCAGUGGCGAAGGCGGCUCACUGGCUCGAUACUGACGCUGAGGUGCGAAAGCGUGGGGAGCAAACAGGAUUAGAAACCCGGGUAGUCCC